rnacentral:lncRNA from 1 species
GUGUGGUUUUGUGUGUGCAUGUGUGUGUUGUAUGUGGUGUGUUGUGUGUAAGUGUGUAUGUCACACAUAUAUUAAAAUCUUAGCCUGGUGCUGUUUGUGAUUACCCAGCCCCAGUACUUCAUGGAAGCAGCCCACAUGGACGAAGGGGCCCUUCCAGUGCUGCAGUCUUGAGCUAAGAGUUCACGUAUUCCGAGACAAUGUGCUUGGGACGUGGGACUUCUUCCCCCGCACUCCUCCUGUCCUCCGCCUCCUCUGUGAGCUGCGGUCUCCCCGCACGCCUGACGCAGGGCUGGUUUUGCUCUGCACCUGCACAGACCGGAGAUGCCCUUGGCGACGUCGUCUGCUCCUCCGGUGCUUCCAAACGCGGGCAAAAUCCUACACAGUGGCACCCAGUGACCGGCCCUGACUUUGAUCUUGGGAGCUUUCCUCUCCACCCAAGAGGCUCGGAGGUCAUCUCUGUCUCAGAAAAUCAGCAAGAUCAACAGCGGGACAGUGGGGACUGACGGCCACUGUCAUUUGCAUCAUGGUGAGCCCUUUAACUGUGGCUUCCUCAGGACAAACAGGCCUUCCCCAUGUGAACUCGUGGCAGGCAGAGAAUCUGGGUUGGGACCCUGGACGGCACCCCAGGCUGGGCUCCUGGCCUUUUCCUUCUCUGCCCUGCUAAGGCUGCCGUGCCAAGCCCUGGGACUGUCCAACAGGGAGAAGGGCCUCGGGACAAAAAUGACCCUUUCUCAACAUUACCCGUGGUUGAGGUUACAAGAAGCAGAGAAUGUGGGAACGUUUCCAAAUGAAAGUGGGGGAAGGAUCACGAAGAAGCAAGUUAGGGCUGUGCCCGGCCACAGCCAGUGCCAACGCCGGGCCUCUGCAGGAGAAAGUGAGGCAGAUGUGGUGAGAUAACACAUCCAGCCCCGAGCGCUACUCUCAUCUGCCAGAGGCGGGGGGAGAUAUUUCUCAGUGAGAUGAAAGCAUGACGGAUGGAUUAGAUCUAAGGGAGGGGCCUGCAGAGGCGCAGCUGGCAGAGGAGCAGGUUCUCUGGAGAAACUAGGGAGGGGCUGACUGUCAGUCACGACCACCAGGGAUCUGAGUCAGUUCACCAGCAGCCUUGGGGACAUUCACCUUGGGCUCCACAACCUGUCAGAAACCCCCUCAAGUCCAAAGGCAUUGAUAGAAUGGCCAGGUUAUUUCAGACUGACACACGUCCUAACGUGCCAGUCAGUCCACGCACCCCACAUGCACCGAGCGCCUCUUGUUCACCCCAAAUAAACUGCUGGAACUGGGGCAGGACUCGCAGGGGUGGAAGAGAGGGGAGAUGGGCAGAGGGCAAAAGUGGGUGGUGAGAAGAGCCGACGGAGGGGUCCCACGGCAAGCGAGGCUGCGUCCCUAACCGACGUCCUGGGGCUGCUGUACAGAGAAGGAACCACGAGCUGGGAGGCUGAAGCAGACUGGCCCUCUCUCGCAGCUCGGAGGCUGCAGGUCUGAAAUCAAGGUGCUGGCAGUGCUGGUUUCCGCUGGAGGCUGGGAGCGGCAAACUCUCCCCUGCCUCUCUCUCUAGGCUCUGGGGUGGGAGCUUCCCAGCGUCCUGGGCUCAUUAUAGAUGGGUCACUCCAGUCUCCAGAUCUUCUCAGGGUUUCCCUCCAGGCACCUCUAAUCUCCCACUCCUUUCUCUCGUAAGGCCACCAGUCAUUGGAUUU